UACGUACUGUGCGAACGUUAUUCGGAAUCACUGGGCUUAAAGGGUGCGUAGGCGGCCCGCUAAGUAGGGUGUGAAAUGCCAGAGCUCAACUUUGGCAUUGCGCUCUAGACUGACGGGCUUGAGUGAGAUAGGGGUGUGCGGAACUUCCAGUGGAGCGGUGAAAUGUGUUGAUAUUGGAAGGAACGCCGGUGGCGAAAGCGGCACACUGGGUCUUAACUGACGCUGAGGCACGAAAGCCAGGGUAGCGAACGGG
rnacentral:rRNA from 1 species